rnacentral:rRNA from 1 species
GGGUUGUGAGGUUAAGCGACUAAGCGUACACGGUGGAUGCCCUGGCAGUCAGAGGCGAUGAAGGACGUGCUAAUCUGCGAUAAGCGCCGGUAAGGUGAUAUGAACCGUUAUAACCGGCGAUUUCCGAAUGGGGAAACCCAGUGUGAUUCGUCACACUAUCAUUAACUGAAUCCAUAGGUUAAUGAGGCGAACCGGGGGAACUGAAACAUCUAAGUACCCCGAGGAAAAGAAAUCAACCGAGAUUCCCCCAGUAGCGGCGAGCGAACGGGGAGGAGCCCAGAGCCUGAAUCAGCAUGUGUGUUAGUGGAAGCGUCUGGAAAGGCGCGCGAUACAGGGUGACAGCCCCGUACACAAAAGCGCAUGUGCUGUGAGCUCGAUGAGUAGGGCGGGACACGUGGUAUCCUGUCUGAAUAUGGGGGGACCAUCCUCCAAGGCUAAAUACUCCUGACUGACCGAUAGUGAACCAGUACCGUGAGGGAAAGGCGAAAAGAACCCCGGCGAGGGGAGUGAAAAAGAACCUGAAACCGUGUACGUACAAGCAGUGGGAGCACAGGUUUACCUGUGUGACUGCGUACCUUUUGUAUAAUGGGUCAGCGACUUAUAUUCUGUAGCAAGGUUAACCGUAUAGGGGAGCCGGAGGGAAACCGAGUCUUAACCGGGCGUUAAGUUGCAGGGUAUAGACCCGAAACCCGGUGAUCUAGCCAUGGGCAGGUUGAAGGUUGGGUAACACUAACUGGAGGACCGAACCGACUAAUGUUGAAAAAUUAGCGGAUGACCUGUGGCUGGGGGUGAAAGGCCAAUCAAACCGGGAGAUAGCUGGUUCUCCCCGAAAGCUAUUUAGGUAGCGCCUCGUGAAUUCAUCUCCGGGGGUAGAGCACUGUUUCGGCUAGGGGGCCAUCCCGGCUUACCAACCCGAUGCAAACUGCGAAUACCGGAGAAUGUUAUCACGGGAGACACACGGCGGGUGCUAACGUCCGUCGUGAAGAGGGAAACAACCCAGACCGCCAGCUAAGGUCCCAAAGUCAUGGUUAAGUGGGAAACGAUGUGGGAAGGCCCAGACAGCCAGGAUGUUGGCUUAGAAGCAGCCAUCAUUUAAAGAAAGCGUAAUAGCUCACUGGUCGAGUCGGCCUGCGCGGAAGAUGUAACGGGGCUAAACCAUGCACCGAAGCUGCGGCAGCGACACUCAGGUGUUGUUGGGUAGGGGAGCGUUCUGUAAGCCUGUGAAGGUGGCCUGUGAGGGUUGCUGGAGGUAUCAGAAGUGCGAAUGCUGACAUAAGUAACGAUAAAGCGGGUGAAAAGCCCGCUCGCCGGAAGACCAAGGGUUCCUGUCCAACGUUAAUCGGGGCAGGGUGAGUCGACCCCUAAGGCGAGGCCGAAAGGCGUAGUCGAUGGGAAACGGGUUAAUAUUCCCGUACUUGGUGUUACUGCGAAGGGGGGACGGAGAAGGCUAUGUUGGCCGGGCGACGGUUGUCCCGGUUUAAGCGUGUAGGUGUGUGUUCCAGGUAAAUCCGGUUCACUUUAACACUGAGGCGUGACGACGAGGCACUACGGUGCUGAAGCAACAAAUGCCCUGCUUCCAGGAAAAGCCUCUAAGCAUCAGGUAACAUCAAAUCGUACCCCAAACCGACACAGGUGGUCAGGUAGAGAAUACCAAGGCGCUUGAGAGAACUCGGGUGAAGGAACUAGGCAAAAUGGUGCCGUAACUUCGGGAGAAGGCACGCUGACACGUAGGUGAAGUGAUUUACUCAUGGAGCUGAAGUCAGUCGAAGAUACCAGCUGGCUGCAACUGUUUAUUAAAAACACAGCACUGUGCAAACACGAAAGUGGACGUAUACGGUGUGACGCCUGCCCGGUGCCGGAAGGUUAAUUGAUGGGGUCAGCGCAAGCGAAGCUCCUGAUCGAAGCCCCGGUAAACGGCGGCCGUAACUAUAACGGUCCUAAGGUAGCGAAAUUCCUUGUCGGGUAAGUUCCGACCUGCACGAAUGGCGUAAUGAUGGCCAGGCUGUCUCCACCCGAGACUCAGUGAAAUUGAACUCGCUGUGAAGAUGCAGUGUACCCGCGGCAAGACGGAAAGACCCCGUGAACCUUUACUAUAGCUUGACACUGAACAUUGAGCCUUGAUGUGUAGGAUAGGUGGGAGGCUUUGAAGUGUGGACGCCAGUCUGCAUGGAGCCGACCUUGAAAUACCACCCUUUAAUGUUUGAUGUUCUAACGUGGACCCG